rnacentral:rRNA from 1 species
CUACGGGCGGCUGCAGUGAGGAAUAUUGCACAAUGGGGGGAACCCUGAUGCAGCAACGCCGCGUGGAGGAUGACGCAUUUCGGUGUGUAAACUCCUUUUAUAUGUCAAGAAAAUGACGGUAGCAUAUGAAUAAGCACCGGCUAACUCCGUGCCAGCAACCGCGGUAAUACGGAGGGUGCAAGCGUUACUCGGAAUCACUGGGCGUAAAGGACGCGUAGGCGGGUUAGAAAGUCAGGUGUGAAAUCCUACAGCUUAACUGUAGAACUGCACUUGAAACUUCUAAUCUAGAGUAUGGGAGGGGGAGAUGGAAUUAGUGGUGUAGGGGUAAAAUCCGUAGAUAUCACUAGGAAUACCUAAAGCGAAGGCGAUCUCCUGGAACAUUACUGACGCUAAGGCGUGAAAGCGUGGGGAGCAAACAGGAUUAGAUACCCGAGUAGUC